UGAAAUUACAAGGGUGUGCCACCAUGCCCAGCUGUCAAGUCAACUUGAAAAACAUGGAUUUUAGUUUAAAAGCUAUGUGUUGACUUAUUGAGAUUCAUCACAGUCCCCAUCAACAUCCCAGCUGGCUUUGCAGCAAUUGACAAGGCGAUGUAACGUUCCUAUGGAAAUUCAAGGGACCAAAAAGUAGUCAGAACUUUCUUUAAAAAAAAAAAAAAGAAGAAAUGUAGGUAAGACUGGGGGAAAAAAUGACAGAGUGGUAAGCAGCAACAAUUCAGCCUUUCUAAGAUUCAGAGUCCAGACAUGGGAAAAUUGCAACCUGGAGAAGAAAAAAGAGGUAGAUCCUGGGAACCAGGAAGAUCUGGCAGGAAAAUUCAAAGCUACAGAGAAAUUGAAUAGACAAAACACAACAUGGAGAGGGAAAGAGGCAGUCUGCACUUUCUCCCCAUCUCCUGACUCAUUGGGAAGGGAAACCGAAGCUACAGAGAUGGAGUGAAUGCUGGGAUCCCCAGAGGUCCCAGGGAGAAAUGCAGUGGCAAAAAGACUGGAUUGGCAAGUGCUGUGAUCUGCAGGGAGAGCGCAGGAUUCUGCUCCCAUGCAAGUCCCUCGUCAGGCAACAGCUGGGAUCCAGCUCAGGACCUUGCCCUUGAACAGCAGGUGCUGGAACCACUGAGCUAAAUCCCUGGCCCCUUAACAUGUAAAUCUUACAUCUGCAUUGCUGGUGUGUAUAAUAUACAUUUGCAACUGCUGUAGCACAAAUUAACUGUAUUACAAUUUAUGCCAUUUUAAUGUUUUCGUUAAGAAACUGUAAUAUAAUGAAAUACAGUCUGUUAAAUCAAUGCCUUUGCAUUAUUGCAAUCAAAGACCCCAUGAGAAGUGGAACAAGCCUCCCAGUGGGACAAUCAUUCAUGUACCACUGGUGGUUCAAGCCAGUGGGAAUGAUUGAAUUCAAAUCAGAGUCACCUAGCAGUGAGACAUACAAAUUACAGCCCUGUCUUGAAUGUUUUAAAAGCAACAAGAGAACAUGUAAAUGGAACACCUUCUAGAUGACACAAAGACUAAUCUACAAAUAACUAGAAGUGAAAAGUCAGAAGACAGCACAAAUAACGUUAAAAAAACCUGUUCAUAGAAAUAAUGGCAGAAAAUUUCCCAAACAAAGUGAGAGAAGGAAACAUGCAGAUAGUGAGGCAAGUAGCCACAACCAAAACCCUGCCACAUAAUAAAAUAUUAGAAAUCCAUCACAGGGACAAAGACCUUAAAAGUUGUUAGAGAAAAGCAGAAUAUCAAAUAUAAAGGUAAACCCAUCAGAAUUACAGCAAACUUUCAAUACAAACCUUGCACAGGAGGGCUUGGACUGAAUGUUUCAAGUCCUAACAACUUCCAACCUCAACUUUAUAUAAACCUGUGAAACUUUCCUUCAAAAUUGAUGGAAAACUAAGGUAUUUAUUUAUAGGACAAAGCAUUAAAAAAAUUCAUGACCACCAAACCACCAUUACAAAAAGUUCUCAAGGAUAUACUAGAAAGAGACAACGAAGCUAACAAUGGCAGUAAAUCAAGUAGAAUGAGCACAUCUGACAGGAUGAGCAGCUAAAAGGAAAAAAGGAAAUCAAGAAUAGGAAAAUUAUUCAGCAGCAGCAAUAAUUCAGUAAACUUCAGUAAGAACUCUCAAUGUGAAUGGUCUCAACUCCCCAAUCAAAAGAUGGAGAUUGGCAGAAUGGAUCUAGAAAUCAAACCCAACAAUCUUCAGUAUGUAAGAAACACAUUUAAUUCCAAAAAAUUCACAUUAAAAAUCAAAGGAUGGAAAGCAAUAUUCCAUGUAUUGGGAACAUGGAAUAAAGCAAGGGCAGCUAUCCUAAUUUUGAACAGAGUGGCCUUCAAUCCAAGACUGAUCACAAAAAAUGAAAGUCACUACUUAUAGGCUAAGGAAACAAUACAACCGGAAGAGAUAACAGUUAUAAAGAUAUACACACCAGGGCAAGGGAUUUAGCUCAGUGGUUUCACCACUUGCUGCACAAGGGCAAGGACCUGAGUUCGAUCCCCAGUACCAAAAAAAAAUUUAUACACACCAAACACAGGUGCACUCAACUUCAUAAAAUAAGCGCUACUGGACAUGAAAAACUCAGAUAAACAGCAAUAUAAUUGUAAUGGGAGAAAUUUAUACCCUACUGUUACAAAUAGAUCACUUAGAAAAGAACAUCAAAGUUGAACCAAACCUUUGAACAGAUGAACUUAAUAGAUAUCUACACAAUGUUCCACCCAACAACAGAAUACACAUUCUCAGCAGCUUAUGGGACUUUCUCCAAAAUAGACCAUGUACUAGCCCAUAAAGCAUACUUAAACACAAAAGAAUUGAAAUUAUCCUGUACAUAUCAUCAGAUUAUAGUGCAGUGGAACUAGAAAUCAAUGGCAAACUCCUGCAAAAACAUGGAAAUUUAAAAAUACCCCUUUAAACAAUCAGUGGGUCCCAGAAGAAAUCAAGGAAGAAAUUAGACGGUUCCAAGGAUCAAAUAAUAAUGCCACUAGAAUGUACUGGAACCUGUAGGAAACAAUGGAAGUAGUCCUAAGAGGGAAGUUUAUAGCAGUGAAUGCCCACAUUAAAGGGAAAAAAAGAGCAUGCUCAAAUAAUGUGAUGUACAUCAAGGACCUAGAAAAUCAAGAACAAUUCCAUAUCCAAAGCUAGCAUGAGGAAGGAAAUGAUAAAGAUUAGAGCAGAAAUUAAUGAAAUUGAGACAAAAAAAUUACAAAGAAUCAAUGAGUCAGUUGGUUCUUUGAAAUAAUAAAAUAGACAAACCCUUAGCCAAUCUUAAGAAAAACCCCCAAAUCCAUGCAAUUAGAAAUGAAAAAGGCAAAUGGAAAACUGCUGAAAUCUAGAAGAUCAUUGGUAACUACAAGAAUCUGUAAUAAAAACGGUAAAUUUAGAAGAAAUAGAUAGACUCCUAGAUACAUAUGAACUACCAAAGGUGAGCCAGGAAAAUAUAAAAACCCUUAAUAUUCCAAUACCAGUCAGUAUAAUUGAAGAAGUAAUGAACUAAUAAAAGCCCAAGUGCCAAGGGAUUCACUGAUGAAUUCUGCAAGAAUUUUUGAGAAGAUCUAACACCAGUACUGACCAAACUCUUUAGUGAAAUAAAAAAGGUAGCAGUACUCCCAAAGUUACUCCUAGAAAGAAGCAUUAGAUUCCAAAACCAGAAAAGGACCCAACUAAAAAAGAACUCCAGGCCAAUCUCUUUAAUGAACAUAGAUACAAAAAUCCUCAAUGGCAAAAAAAUACAACAAAUUAUCAAAAGCAUUGGACAUCAUGACCAAGUGGGAUUCAUUCCAGGAAUGCAAGGAUGGUUCAGCAUAUCUAAAUCAAUAAAUGCAAUAUAUCUCAUAAACAGAAGGACAGAAGUUGCAUGAUCAUCUCAAUGGAUGCAGAAAAAGCAUUUGACAAAAUCCAACACCCCACCCAUCAUGUUAAUAAUCCUGAAAAAAAUAAGUAUAGAAAGUCUUUAUCUCAAUCUGAUCUGUGACAAAGUAACAGUCAUCAUCAUAUUAAAUGAAAAGCUGAACACUUCCUCUAAAAUCAGGAACAAGAAAAGGAUGUCUGGUAUCAGUCCUGUUGAACAUAGUCCUCAAAACAUUAGCCAGAGUAGUCGAGCAAGAGAAAGUAUACAUACAUAUAUGGGAAAGAUAAAUGACCAUUAUUUGCAGAUGACAUUCUCUACAAAGAAGACUACAAAAACUCCACCAAAGGACCCCUUGAAUUAAUAACCAAAUUCAGUUAUAGAGUAGGAUACAAAGUCAACACUGAAAAAUAGCAUUCAUGUACACCAGCAUCAAGUCACUGGGUGAAAAAUUAGGGAAGCAGUACCUUUCACAGCAUCAAGUAAAAUGAAAUAUGUACGAAUUAAUUUGACCAUCUAAGUGAAAGACCUCUACAAUGAAAACUACAGUGCUGUGAAAAGGAAUAUGGAAAGAUAUCCCCAUUCCUUGAUGGGCAGAACCAGUAAAGCCCUAAAUAACUAUACUUCCAAAACUGUUAAGCAGAUGUAACAUAAUUGCAAUCAAAAUAUCAAUAGCAUUUCUUACAGAACUACAGAAAGCAUACCUAAAAUUUCAUAGGGAACCAGAAGAGACCUAGAAUAGCAAAGCAAUUCUGGACAAUAAGGGCAAGGCAGGUGACAUCACAAUUCUUGACUACAAAGCUACUGUGGUAAAAAUAGUAUGGUAUUGGCAAGGACACAAGACUUGUGGAUGGAACUGAGUAGAGCAGUGAUGGUGAACUUAUGGCACACGUGCUGCUGUGGGUGGCAGGGAGAGCCAGGUCACCCCAGCAUUUCCCCCAGCAACUGGGCAUUGGAUAACAGUGCACAAAAAGCACACCAAGUGCAAAGUUUUACGUUUCAAUAAGAAGCUGUUUGUAUCAUUGAAAGCCCUGUUAUAUUUUUCUUUAAAGACAAAAGAUGUUGAUGUAUGAAUUCUUUAAAACCUCAGUAUUGGGGUUUAAUUGCAUUGUUGGGAGUUUGCCAUAAAUAAGUGGGUUUUGGGUUGCAGUUUGGGCACUCAGUCUCUGAAAGGUUUGCCAUCACAACAGAGGGUGCAGGAACAACUCCAGGAACACACAGCUAUCUUAUCAUAGACAAACAGGGCAAAUACUUUCACUGGAAGAAAAAUAGCCUGUUUGAGAGAUUGGACCUAGACCUAUAUCUCUCACCAUGCACUAAACUAAAACAAAAUGGAUCAAAGACCUAAAUAUUAAAACAGAAGCAUUUAAUCUACCAGAAGACAAAAUAGGUGAAGAUGUAGGUGUGGGCAAAGACUUUCUGAAUAGAACCCCAGUUGCAGAAGAAAUAAUACCAAGAAUCAACAAAUGGGAUCACAUCAAAUUAAAAAGUUUGACAAAGCAAAGGAAACCAACCAGGGUAAAGAAACAAUCAACAGAAUAGGAAAAAAAUUUUGCCAGGCACUCAUCAGACAAAGGAUUAAUAUCUAGAAUGCAUAUAAAUUAGAACUCAAAAAGAACUCCUCCAGUUUAAAACCCGAAUUAAAAAAAUGGGCAUUUUUCCACUGCCUGCCUUGCAAGCGCAAGGUCCCAAGUUCAAUCCUUGGUACAGAAAAAAAAGGGCAUUUUCAAUGAACAGACACUGCAAAUGGCUAAUAAAUAAGAGAAACUUUUCAACAUCACUAGCCAUUUAAGAAAUGCAGAUUGAAGCAACACUGAAAUUUUACCUAAUUCCAUAAAGAAUGAUUAUCUUCAAGAAAGAUUACAAAUGCUGGAUAGGCUGUGGGGAGAGGCAGUCCUUCAUUGCUGGAGUGUAAACUGGUGCAAUGACUAUGGAAAUAAGUAUGGAGAUUCCUCAGAAAAACAGAAAAUAGAAAUUCCAGUUUCUCUAGUCAUUCCCCUUCCUGAAAGAGUUAACAUAUUAGAGUGACAUGUGCAUUAGAGUGAUGUGUGCGUACCUAUGUUUAUAGCAGUGCAGUUUAUAAUAGCUAAAUCUUGGAAGCAGCCUAUGUGUCCAUCAAAAGAUGAGUGGAUAAGGAAAUACGGUAUUUAUAUCCAAUGGAGUACUCUUUCAUGAAGGUUCAGCUUGAUUCAUUUGUGGGAAAAUGGAUGCACCUUGACACUGUACCAUUAAGUGAAGUAAAUCAAGCUUGAAUUUAUCAUAUAUAUAUAUAUAAAGUGCAAAAUAAGAGACAAUAGGAAAAAAAGAGAAAUUGUACUCUCUCAUGGCCAG
ensembl:lncRNA